rnacentral:rRNA from 1 species
AUUGAACGCUGGCGGCGGGCCUAACACAUGCAAGUCGAACGGUAGCACAGAGGAGCUUGCUCCUCGGGUGACGAGUGGCGGACGGGUGAGUAAUGUCUGGGGAUCUGCCCGAUAGAGGGGGAUAACCACUGGAAACGGUGGCUAAUACCGCAUAACGUCGCAAGACCAAAGAGGGGGACCUUCGGGCCUCUCACUAUCGGAUGAACCCAGAUGGGAUUAGCUAGUAGGCGGGGUAACGGCCCACCUAGGCGACGAUCCCUAGCUGGUCUGAGAGGAUGACCAGCCACACUGGAACUGAGACACGGUCCAGACUCCUACGGGAGGCAGCAGUGGGGAAUAUUGCACAAUGGGCGCAAGCCUGAUGCAGCCAUGCCGCGUGUAUGAAGAAGGCCUUCGGGUUGUAAAGUACUUUCAGCGGGGAGGAAGGCGAUGUGGUUAAUAACCGCAUUGAUUGACGUUACCCGCAGAAGAAGCACCGGCUAACUCCGUGCCAGCCGCCGCAGUAA